GUCUGCCUCCUCACUCUUCCCCAUGUCCAGGCCAGGCCAGGCCUCAGAAGUUUGGAAUGAUGGCAGAAGAGUGCUAAGGACCAGGCACUGGGGGUGAAGGGACUUGCCCAGGCUCACCCAGCUGAGAAGUGUCUGAGGCCAGAUUUGAACCCAGGAUCUCCCAUCUCUGGCCUGGAUCUCCAUCCACGAGCCACCCAGCUGCUCCUCUGAGCGAAUCCUUCUUGAGCCUGGUGGCAAACAGAGGAAGAAACAUGCAUGAGAGUCUCUCAGCAGAUUUCCCUGACCAGAAAGCAGAGCGGGGGCUCCGAGGAAGCCAGUGGGAGAUCCUCCCACGGCAGAACGUUUUGGUUCACAGUGGGGGAAGGAUGGCUGGUCCCUGAGAUGCGGCAGGCAGGGAGUCUUCCAUCCUGGCAGCGUCCCAGAGCAGCACAGCACAGCACAGCACAGCACAGCACAGCACGGGGCCUGCCUUUAGACUUCUGCCAAGCCUCCUUAGUGGCAGGUCCACAGGUUCCUCAUUUGUCAAAUGAGCUGGAGAAGGACAUGGCAAACCACUCCAGUCCCCCCAUCAAACAACUAAAGCCAACCAAAACAGAGAGAGACAACUAAGCAACAAAAAGGACUUGAUGAAGGUAAGCCAUCGUCAUUAUGGGAGUUCCUGAUCUUGAAGCUUGGCUUCUUCAGCUGCUCUCCAUUAAGGGGGUUGGAGGGGAGGGGAAGGCACCACAGGGGCUGGGCUUUAGGAGAACAAGUGAUUAGAGCAGCAAAGGCUCGUUGAAAUUGGGAAGUGGGCACCAGGGCAGUGCCCCAGGUCUGGCCUUAGCUUCUUCUCACUGAGGGUAAAAGUCCAGGCAGCCAUCCCGGAGCCUUUUGGGGGUGGUGUAGCUAGGGCUGGGAGGGAGAGCAGAGAUUGGAAUCCAGAACCAGAGAUCCAAACGAGGAUGGGUAAAUACCAUGUGGUUUCCCGUAUGCAGUGGGGGAGGGCGAGGCAUGGCGAAACAGUUCUGGAAAAGAUCUGGAGGUUUUCCCCAAACUAGGGUUCUCCCGCCCUGGGAUGGCGAGCCCAGAAAAGGGAGCGUUUGCUGCCCCGGCCUGGUUAGGCUCCAGAUGGAUAUGGGAGAUCUUCCUACAUCGGGAGGCUCUGCCCUCUGAGGAUGUGUGGAAGGGCCAGGAGAGGAGGCAGCUCCAGCUUGGGCAAUCCCCAGAGACAUCCCAGACACUGAGAGCAUGUCAAAGUGGAGGCCUGGAGGCUCUGGAAGGGAUCCUGGCCAGCCUGCUCAGCCCUUACCCUCCUAGAGAAGGAAAUUGAGUUUAUGGAGUGAGCGGCUGCUCAUGUGCCAGGGGUUUGCUAAGUGAACUUGGAACAAAUGUCUCAGUUGAUGCGCACAGCAAGCCCGGGUUAGACGGGUAAACGUUGGUUAAGUGCCUCGCCCAGGGAGGGCCACUAACUGAGGCUCCUUCUGAGCUCCCGCAGGCCUCCAGCAGGGCUUGGACCACAAGGCAGGGGAAAGCAGUGGCAGGCCUGGAGAAUCCAGCCUCGCUCGGCUUUUGUCCCCCUUCUAUGUCCCAGCAACAGUGGCCCCAAGCAGGCCCCUCGGAGGCUGGCAAAGGAAAGGGAAGCCCUGAGGUGCCCGUCGUGGCAAGGUCGGGGACCCGAGCUCCAGUCCUUGACUGGCUGCUUACUAGCGAGCAAGCGAGCUAGUCAAGGAUUGCUCUGGGCCUCAGUGGAAACUUCCCUUCAUCUUCCGCCUUUUCCUCGGAUGACGCCCCUGGCAGCCCUCUCUCUCCCUCGGGCGGGCGGGCGGGCGCCUCGGACACUUUGCUCCCGGGGCAGGGUGCAGCGGGCUAGCCCAAGAACCGAUUGCCUUUACUCUCCAAGUAGUCGGAAGGUCAUUGGCUGGUAAACAAUCUCGGCGGACGGCCGCUCCCGAGUGGGAGGGCAGAGGGGGCGGGGCGGGGCGGGGCCACGCCGCGCCCGGAGAGCCUCCAGGAGUUUCGACUUCUCCCUACGGUGAAGUUGGGCGCUGACAGCUGGGAGGGGGCACGAAGCGGAGUCCCCACAGGCCGGGCUGCCCGCUAGCUUUCUCCCUCUCCCGUGGCUGCCUCCCCGGCCUGGUCAUGGGCCCGCCGCCCCCUGCCCAGCACUACUUCCGAUCGGACAGCAGCGAAUCCUCCGCCUGCAUGAUGGGGGCCGCCGAGGACCCCGAGGCCUCGAGGAGGAAGCGGGCGAGGGCGAGGGCUUGCAGCCCGGUGUGGCUCGCCACGCUGGCCCUGGGCGUGCUGGCCCUGCAGGUGGCCUCCGCCACCGGCCUCUUCCUCUAUUUCACCUCGUCCAUUUCCAGGGUGAGUCGGGAGCCUGGGAGAAGGGCUGGGGCGGGGCGGGACAAAGGGCAGGUGUGUGGUAAUAAAGGAAAGCCCGCGGGCUGAAACGGGCGAGCC
ensembl:lncRNA